CAGUGUUUCAGAUAUAUUGCUUUUCUUGAAAUUGGCUCAAUGUUCGCCGUAAACGUAAUCCAUUUCUGUUGACUGUAUGUGUAAAUAUCAACACAGAGAAAAUCUGCUGAAGCUUGUAUUUCCAACUCUGUUGCCCAAGAUCCAACAUACUUCAUUUUUGAGUCCAUGAGAUAUUGCUCCACAGAAACAAAUUGCCGUCUUAGACAAGUAAUGUAAUGAAGUGGAUUAUUUGAGAUGUGAUUCACUACAGCCUUUCGAAAGGCCUUGUGAUGUGACUCGCAACCACUCAAUACAGACGAAAGAGAACGAAAGAAACAAUUACCGUCACCUUCAAUGGAUGUUGUUUGGCAUGGUUCAGGCUGUGCCACAUCGAAGGUUUGUACAACAAUAUUUUGAUCUAAACUUGGUACGAUAUUCAGUUUGUUGCAGAUCCUGUUUUUUUCCCUUAAUGUCAAUCCAGUAAAUAUUAUAUUGGGGCUAUCUGUUACAGAAAUUAAACAGACAUCUGAUGCACCCUCUGUGUGAAUUGGAGGAUCACUGUCAAUGUUUACAGUUGUGUCACAUGUAGAAGUGUUUGCUACAGGCUGCACAGUUUCAAGGGAAAAAGACGCGUUUACUGUAAGGGAAUUUCUAUCUGUUACCGAAAGGACACAGAGAUCAGAGUCACUGUCAGUGUCCAAAGUACCGUCAUGUGCCGAAGUGCUGGCUUCAGGCUGUGCAGUUAAAGCAGUAAAUGAAGCUGGUCUCAUUGGCUGUUGGUUUAUCAGCCUGGGCCAUCACAACUUUUGGCCCCCAAGGUGUUGGCUCCUCUUGUUUUCUCUGUCCAGAGACAACCCGAGCAGUUGGCUGGUUCACCUUCUACAAUGAGAAACGGCCACUCAUCAACACACAGAGUCUUGUCAUCCCCCUCCGGUUGAGCAAACUGCAAAGACAUAGUAAGAAUUAUAUGUACAUUACAAUUGAGAAAUGGAAACCCAAAAUUACACUUUCUUAAAGGGAACUUAGAGAAAAUAUCAAAAGAAUAGAGAACCGCACUCUAUUCACUGAAUGUGUUUAAUCAUUACAUGUUGUAUGCAAAUUACCUUGCUCGAAUGCACAAAGACGCUGCCCUCCAGAGUGGCUGGUACAGCAGCUUCUGGCACAGGUCGAGGGGGAGGUACCAGCUUCGAAGGUUUGGCAAUCCUUGCUGGAGUUUGAAGUGCCUGGAAAAUAAUUGUAAAUCAUUGGCAAAACAAUACCUACACAGAGAAUGUUGGACUAUCUCUUGUGUUAAAGGCGAAAUCAGAAAAUAGUUGUUCCUGUGUUUCAACCAAAAAACAAGUACAUAUUUCACUGAGAAAUUACCAACCUCAAGGCGGGCCUUCUUUCCUUUGGAGACCACAGCCGUGGUUCCAUGUGCCACCUUCCGUUUCUAUCAUAAUGGAAGAGAACGGAAAUGAUAACAGUUAAUGAAAUAUAACACUUAUUAUCAAUGCAACUAUCUGUACCAUACAAUGUAAAGCUUGUCAUAUAGGAUUACAGGCGCUAUUAAUAUGUAUGCACUCACAAACAGUUAAUAUUAAAAUCACACAAAUUACCUUUGAGCGAUUCCCCAUGGUAGCAUACAUGGGGACGUCAAGGUUGGAUGGAACAAUGCGAUCCAUUGCAGCCAACUUGUCAGUGCUAAACCGGAUAGGGUUUAGCACGACAAAGCACUCCCUCAGGACCAGAGGAGGCACACAAACCUAGAAAUAAAAAACAGAAUUGAGCCAUGGACCAUUUCCCUUGUCUUAUAGGAAUAGCAUUUAAAUGAAACAACAAAUGUACGCAUCAUUACGGUUUAAUUUCCUAUCAGCUAUCAUACCAAUGUACAAACCUCAUGAGGAAGGAUCCGCACGGAAGACUGAUCCCAGUCCUCAGGCGCAUCCCAGGACUCAGGUUGGCUGCGCUAUAAACACAUAGGGGGAAUUAGUAUUCAAUAAAUGUGGCCUAACUAAAACUAAAGCUCUUCAAAAUUGUAUAACUUUUACCUUUCCGCGACGUCCGACGACAGUUUCCUUGAAGGGGUCAAGGGGACGUGGACGUGAAACCUCUCCCUUCACAACCACGGUUGUAGCAAAGGGUCUCACAGUCGGGGGUGACUUGGGAGGAGACACAGGCGGAGGUGUAACAGGCAGAGGUGACUGUAGCUGCCGAAAGGAGAAGUGCCACAGAAGCUUCGCGAGAAGCGGCAUCCCCAGAUCGUCACUCAGGUGGAUCUAUUAUAAUGAGAAGCACGGGUUAUUAUUGAAAUAAACUGCUUUUGCCAUAUAAAAAUG
rnacentral:lncRNA from 1 species